UGAUUAAAUAUAACUCCAACUUCAUCUUCAACUCCAACUCCAACUCCAACUCCGAAAAAAAGUAAUUUCAUGGCCAAACGACUGCUUAGUGUUACUCAACACUUGGCCGAUGAAGAAAUUCUCCCUCAAUUUUUGAGGCCUCCACAACUAAAAAGACGGAUAUUACGUAUACAAAUAUAUAAUAAGAAAUAAAUAAAUUCGGGGGAAGAUAAAAUCCUUAUAAUAUUUUAAAACUUUAUGUGAG
rnacentral:lncRNA from 1 species